UUCUGAGCCCCUUCCUCAGCCAGCUCUGAUCCUGGCAUGGGACAUGAACUCUCUCUUAGCCAAAAAGUAGACUUGCAUCGAUUGACUGUAAUUUGCAACGAAAGUUAGUUGUUGGACAAAUGAUCUCACUUACCCUCAUGACAACCCUCUGAAGGUUUGUUUGCAAAUCCCAGUGCCCUGUCGCGUUCAUGCUGCCCUUGGGGUAGAAGGGAUACUGUAUUUUACUCUCUAGCACAGGUGGUGAAUCGGGCUGUGUUUUUUGUCUUUAAGGUGGAAAAUAGCUAUUCAAUUUCUGUUCCGAUCUUCAAACAGUUUCACAAGAAUAUCAUUGGGAAAGGAGGCGCAAACAUUAAAAAGAUUCGUGAAGAAAGCAACACCAAAAUCGACCUUCCGGCAGAGAAUAGCAAUUCAGAGACCAUUAUCAUCACAGGCAAGCGAGCCAACUGUGAAGCUGCCCGGAGCAGGAUUCUGUCUAUUCAGAAAGACCUGGUAAUGGGAGAUGUUUUUUAAUGGAGGUCCUCUGGUAAAAUCUCUGUCAGCCUCUAAGAUUGAGCCUGGGGUUGAGUCACGCGGGGUC
rnacentral:sRNA from 1 species